GAGGGUAUAGCUCAGUGGUCGAGUGUGUGCUUAGCAUGGACAAGAUUGUGGGUUCAAUCCCCAGUUCUUUCA
rnacentral:tRNA from 1 species